GUUUCUAUAGUUGAACAAGACAACGGUGGUUUUUCAAGCCACAGAUCUUGGAUAAAGGCCAAGUAGGAAUU
rnacentral:tRNA from 1 species